AAUACUGGGGGAUAAUGAUAUGGUAGUACACUACACAAAAAGAUUGACAGCCAAACUGAAGUAUUCCAAGGGAAGUUACUGUGGUUCCAGUAUUUAUGUUUGUUUUAUUAAUUAUAUUUUUUAAAACAAAAAUACAAAAAUAUUUAUGUUCGUUUUUAAUUGAAAAAUUUAACUUUGUUUCACUUGUUCACUCUUUUCACCAUAAACCCGCUUAGCUUGACGUUCACAAAGCGUUUAAACCGAAUGACAGUUGGCGGAUGAGCAUUUUCUCGUAAGCAUACCCAACAGCAAAUCGAGUAGCAGCCGAAGGAAAUGAAUCAAAAAUAAAAUUUAUUUGCAAAAAAAGAACAACACAAGUGAAAAAUCAAAACAAACAAUGAAACAACAUCUAGGCAGCGUCCCACAAACACACACACAACAACGAGUCUCUCGAUAACUUCUACACAAAGGGAGAGAAAAAGAGAGCGAGAGAGAGAGAGAGAGAGAUAGAGAAGAAAGCACCAUCAUCUCAUAGUCAUUAUAGUCGCGAUGUUGUCUUCGUUGUCGUCUUUAAGGCAUAAUUGUAUCUCAAUGAUACUGAUAAGAAAGUGUCAUUCAAACAACAACUACGCCACCACAUUCAAGUAUGUGACAGUUACCAGAACAACAGCCAUAGAUAACGAUAACAACAAUAGCAGCAGCAACAACAAGUACAACCAAAGCAACAAGUGAUUCUACCAUCAUUUUCAUUGGGAGAGGGCAAGCACGAGGCUACCAUAGUUGUAAAUGCUGUAUUCGUAUUUUGCACUGAGUACCUAUCAACUGUGCUGUGCUCUGCUGUUUUUGUUUCGUCUUAGCGAAUUGUUGAAAAUACUCUUGUUUUGUUAUAAUCGAUACACAAGGCUGCGAAGUCGGAGUCGAGCAAUUUUGGCCGGAGUCGAGAAAAUUAUUUCGACUCCGACUCCGGACAAAGUAUUGUAAUAAAAAAUGUCCCUUGAGCACCGUCGGAAUGUGGUCUCCGUGGUGCUGUUUUAUUGAUACCAUCAGAGUGUUUGCUCCGCAGAGAUAGGUUUUUUAUCCCCGAAGUAAGGAGGUUCCCCAGGCACACAAGAUUUUCUUCGAGCACAUACCAGUAUAUAAUCGAUUGGCCAGUUGACCAAACACUGCGCUACCGUGAAAACUCGUUUUUGCCCGAAUAAUACGAAUGUGGAAUCGACUUCCAACUGCGCCCCACUAAAAAAUAAAUAUGCUUUUUUGUUUAAUAAUUUUUUUGUUUCAUGCAAAUAUUUGUAUAAAAGAUUAAUUAUUAAUCAUUUGCCUAAAUUUUAUAACAAUAAAUUAUGCAAUUAAAACUACAA
rnacentral:sRNA from 1 species